CGCGGUGGCAGCGCCGAGGAGCGGGCGAGCUUCCCAGACCGUAGCGCGCUCGGCGUGGUUCCAGUGCAGAGCCUGACGCGGGAGGCCUGGGUCCGUGGUGUGCGUUGCCACCCGGCUCCUCGGGGCCCGUCCCAUGGUCCGCUGGCCACAGCUGGAUGGAGUAGGGAGGCCUCACAGCUGCCCAGAGGUUCCGGGCGGGAGGGGUUGCUGAGCCUGGCUUGGGGGAACCUGCUCGCUGACGGCACCAGCUCCUUCUCCGGCCCCUUCCUGGCGCUUGCUGAGGUUGCCCUUCCACGGAGCAUGAGCCACUCCCACUGGCACCCUGUUUGGGGCGUGCUUCCCAGCCGAAGACGAUGUCGCUCCCGAACCCCAUUCGUCAGCUGUGUGACCUCGAGCAAGUCGCUUUGCCUCUCUGAGCCUCAGUUUCCCUAAUCUUCAAACGGAGACAGUAGGUUGCAGGGAAGCUGACGCAGGCGAACACGCGCAGGGAACCUGGAAGGACGCCCGGCACGCGGUUUAAGAUGUCGGAGACGACGCAGGUGUUUGCGCAGCUGUGUUUGGGAGCAGCAGGGCCGGCCCGUGUGGCCACAGCCUCGCCGGGUCGCUGGGCUCCACCCCGCACUCCUGGCACUCCGUUAGAGGCUGGGGCGCUACGCAGGCAUCGGGGCGGGUGCCUCUCUGGGGAUAGCUCAGAAGGAGGAUUCAUUUUGAACCCAAAACACCGCCACUCCAUGAUUCUUAUUUUUUGAGUCUCUUCUUUAAACCAGCAGUCUCCAACCCGCGCCCCCUGGCCACAGCCGAGGGCCGGGAGGCGGCCUACUAGGGACUGGGCUGCGUAGACCACCUGGGCUCUCCAGCUGCCCCACCCCACCCGUUUCCCGUCCCUGGAAAAACUGUCUUCCACGAAACUGGUCCCUGGUGCCAAAAGGGCCGGGGACCGCUGCUUGAAAUACAUCCUGGGGGAAUGGAUGCUAAUGGCAGUGGUUUAUUUUUCAUUUAUUUUUAAUGCCAAAGCCAACAAUAAAAAAAAAAAAAAAGCUUUGCGAAUGCCUCCCCCAAAGUGGGGAUGGGGGGAGCGGGGGCCACACACAUGGUGAAUGAAGAGGAAGUGGAUGGAAACCCCCUGUGCUAGCUGCCGACACAGCCCGUGACCCCUGACCCUGGCGGGAGGGAGGGGGUCCCAAGUUCCAAGGUGCAAGGGGAGAGCUCUGGUCCCGAAACCUGGGAUGGAUGCCGUGUUCCUCCGGGAAGGGAGGCUGGGAGGGGAGAGAAGUGUGAAGCAGAUGGAAAUGUAAUUUUUUAAUGACAGCAGCAGAUGGCAAAAAGACACAAGAGUGUAUUCACACCACGUCGGAGCCAUUUGAGAGCGCCGGGCCCAGCCGCGACGUGUGCGGUGGGGCUGUCGUGACGGCUCCCCUGCCAAGCCCCGGAGCAGCCGGCGGGCUGCAGGCGGGAACACGCAGCCCCCCUCCCCCUCGGAGAGGGCCGGGACGCGCUGCCAGGCUGUGCGGAGCCACAGGUAGAUGGGGAAAUACCUGUGGCCACCUGGGUCGAAUCUGGAAGCUUCCCUGGGCCUGGCGUGCAUAGUCGGUCGGCUCUGCCUCGGGACAGACCCCACUCUUGGAGCCCUAGGUCGGGCCAUCGCCACUACUCACCUGCCGCCAGGUGAGCCUCCUGUUGCUAGGCUGGCCCGCCCCCAACUUCAUCCACCCAGGGUUCUUUUCUAAAACGCAAAUCUACCGCGUCUCCCUUUGGGCUUGCUUAUGGUGAAAUAGCUUGCUUUAAGUGGCCUCCCACUGACUUCAGGAUCAAGGCCAAGUUCUUCAAGUGGCUUGCAAGGGCAGGCCCAGGUUUGGCCCUGCUUACAUCUUUCUUGCUUCACUCCUCGCCACUGCCUGCCUGGAACGCCGCGCUCAGCAGGGAGGAUUAAGCACCUCGCAGGGCUGUUGAGAAAGAGCUGCUACCAUCCAUCGUCAAGAGGGCAAAAAAAAACCACGGUUUGUUGAGCAAAGGCUGCGUCAGACACUGCGGAGGGCUUCACCUGCGUCAGUCCCUUUAUGCCUUGCAGCAGCUGGAAGAGAAGGUAGAGUUCAAAGUAGGUAACAGGUGAGGCCGACGGGGCCAAAUCGAUCAGGGCUGCUGCACCGGCCACCAACGCCCAGGCCGUGGGUACCAGGUGACAUCAGAGCUGAAGGAAGGAGGUCAGGUGAUCACCCGGGCGCAGGUGCAUGCUCAGGUCUCGGCAGGGAGCUGGGCGCCUUCUACUCUGGGCACCCAGAGCUCGGUGGGGCGUCCCAACCUGCCUGGGGAGCGGUCCUUUCUUAUCCCCAAGGGCACUCACAGUGCCACACCACUGGCUCGCGUCAGCUGAGGCCGGGGGAGGCAGAGGUACCCCUGGGGGAGGUGUUUUCCAUUCCAAAUUUCUUUUUUGCAGCAUGACUGUAUUUCUAGCCCCUCCUCGGUUCAGGAACAGUAACAAGCCCGCCAGGUGCCAGUUACUGUUACGAGACCACAGGAGAGAAGCCGGGCGCAGUUUACGCCACAGAGCGGUGGCCUCAACCGUGGCAGAGGAGGCUGAAAACCACGGAUGUCCGAAGCAAGGCCUGGGCGUGGCGCAGGGUUCCAUCCGGGAUCCCAGGGGACGUUUAGUCUUCGCAUCUCCUUAGGCUGCUCCUGGCUCUAGCAGUUUCUCGGACUUUCCUUGUUUUUUGAUGACCUUGAGAGUUUGGAGGCCUGCCCAGGUGUUUUGCAGAGCGCCCCCCAACUGAAGCCAGCCGUUUUCCUCUUGAUUAGAGAGUGGCCUUGGGUUUUUGGUGGAGGAAGUCCCCAGAGAAGGAUGUCACGGUGCAGCCCGAGCUGCAGGUGUUGAGCGCUCACGUGCCACUGCCCUGCGGGAGAAGGACCUACAUACCUGCCGCGGAGGUGACUCUCGCACAGGUGACUUGUCUCUCUGCCCCCAUUUAUUUAUUUAUUCAGUCCUUUAUGUCAGCACGCACUCAUCAAUAUGUGUUUUACACUUUGCAUACUGAUCCAGCAGUAAACGUUUUGGUGCCCAAAUGGUUUGGGAGCUCUUUCUGUUGGCCCCUGGGCCCCUCUGAUGUGUGCUCGCCGUGGUGGGUUUUGUGUCUGUGUGUGUGUGUGCUCUCUGGUAGGACAAGGUGCUUUACCUCCAUCUGGUGUAUUCCCUGCCCAGGCCCGGGCCCAGCCAUGUCCCCUUUCUCAGGGGAGCCCCGGCUCCUUUUGUCGAGAACGGCGUCAGAAAACAAGACCCGGGCGUGGGUGUGCUCACUGCCCUGCACGUUGUCUCUUCCAGGCCUCCCGGUGGACGCAGCAAGGAGACUGCACCAAUCAGGAAGGGAGGCCUCGCCAGCUUUGGAGCACAAAUAUUUGCCAGUCAAGAAAACACUCCCUCAUCAAUCAAAACCCAGACAAACUGGCUGUCUCUCUCUGCAGCCGCCUGAGGCAGUUUCUAUUUUGGGAGGGGCCAGGUGGCCCGCAGCUUCCACUCCUACCAGAACACUCCAGGCUCCUCCUCUUCUCCCUACCUUAUUUUGAAGAUGGAGAGACUGAGGUUCAAAGUGGUCACAUAUAGCAUCCAGAGUGACCUUUUAUUUUCUUUGAGCAUAUCUGUCUUAAUAAUGAAGGUAACGCAUAGUAAAAUCUCCAAGUCUGUAAAUGACAACUUCCAAGGCUUAUAAACAACAGAUGUAUCUUUCCGUGUGAGCGGGCAGAACCUAACUGUAUACCUUUAGUUCACCUUCCCAACAACAUGGGGGAGUCCAGCAAGAGAGCUCCAGGUACCUGGGGUGGAAUGGAUUUUUGCAGGAUACUGAACCCUGGCAUGCAUGCAUUCCCUAUGAGUUUUCUCAGGGCCGAAUGGUCGAGGUUUCACAUUUGAGUGCAGUCUAAGACCAGCUACUUCACCUCCCAGGAAGCUUUCCUGGCCCCGUUACCUGCCCAUCAAAAUCCCCCCGGCCCUGGUUAAAACUCAGCUUUCUGUCCUCACCCCACUGCUGAAUCAUGGCUCCCCAGGAGGGACUGUGACACAGGUGAGUUUGGUUUCGCUCGCCCGUGCACGGAGGGCGUGGGGUUCAGCGAGCACCUGGGCCACCGGCACGUGUCCACUCGGGCCUGGCCUGGGUGCUCGCCCACGUGCAAACGCUCAGCUGCUUCUCUGAAGGGUUUGCAUGCACUGGAAGGGGUGGGUGGGGUGGAGGAGUCUGCGCUUUUGCACA